CCUGGGAGCGUCUCUCUCUCUCUCUGCUGUUGUCUCUUUAUACCCCCCCCCCCUUCCCUCUGCUGUUCUUCAUUAGCAGAGCAGAUGGUGUGAGUGAGCAGGCCGGUCAUUUCUAAAUCAAUAGCCGGGCACAGGGGACUCGCUGUGUGUAUCUGGAAAAACACACUCGUAUGCGCGCUCACAUCCAAAUCUCAUCUCCAAGCCUACGACGCGCGCGGCGGCGGCGGCGGAGGAGCGCAACGCAGCUCGAGCCGUCCCGCGAGCGAGCGCGCGCGCGCGCGCGCGCAGAGAUAAACACCGAGAGCAAGACGCGCGGCGCACGAGUGGCGCAUUAUCCCUGCGCGCGCGCACGCUGACACCGACCGAAUGAGGGGAGAAGAAGACGUGUGGGAAGAAGAUGGAGAGUAAACCAAUAGCCCCGCAGCUUAUUUCUGUAGACAAGCUGUUGUUUAAUAUGACUGCAGCAGACGUCGGCCCCACGACAAUUAUUUAAACCCCCACAGCCUGCUCGACUGGAGGAGAUGCAAGUACCUCGCUUUUACCUCCUCUCCGCACGUGUCCCUGUGUCUCUCUCUCUCCUUUUUCAUUCUGCCGCCUCUCUCGCCUCCCCGAACCGCAGCAGAAGCUGGAGGUGGCGGAAACAUAUUUAAUGCUUCAUUAAAGUCACAAUCCGCAACCUGUUGUUGUCCGGUCCUAUUAUAAAACGAUGUCUGCGCGUGUGUGAGACGCGAGGCAGGAGAGCAGACAGCCCGACAAUUCUGCAGCCGUCUGUUGUUGGAUUCUCCACACCAGAUGCUGCUGAUUUAUUGGCAACGUGUCACGCGAAGUUGCCCUUCCUGUCCGGGAGCCGCAGCCUGGCGCCGCUCGCGUUUUAAAGUAACAACCCAGCGUUCGAUUCCGCGCUCUGCCGCGGCGUUUCUGCGGUGGCGGUGAGCCCGCUUGUAGCGUUGAGGAUGCUUUUGAAGAUGAAACGCCGCCGCGCCUUUGUCUUCCGCGACAGCAACAGUCGCAGCCGCAGCAACAGGGCGUUUCAUCUACUGGCGCUGGUAAAAGACUGAAGUUCCAUCGUGCGAGGAGGGAGGCAGCGUCGGAGCAGUUUACCUGCCGGAGCUCGGCGGCGGCGUCGGUGCUCAGCAACCGCCGGCAGCCGCCGUUGAGCCCGAACGUGACACGCGCCUCCCAACGGCGGCGGCGGCUGAGCUGCGACGCUCCGCGGGGAGCGCGCUUUAGUUUCCUCCAGCGGCGCUCCGCCGAGCACAUUCAGAUGAUUAUUUAUUCACGCUCCCCUCAGAAUACGUUUUGUCACCUGACAAGCCGUCUGGCGCGACAGAUUAAAAUAUUAAACAGACUGACAUGAUCGUGGUGAAGUAAAAAACACAACUAAACAUGCUUCCUUUAUGGUGGAAGGACAGCGGGAGGUACAGGAGGUCACGCUCAGGGGCGAGAGGCCUUUUUAGAAGUGGCCAUGAGCUGUUCAGAUGAUGUACAGCCACACACACACACACACACACACACACACACACACACACACACACACACACACACACACACACCGUCAUCACUGAAGGACCCACUGCUGGAUUGUUUUUCCAGCUGUUGGCUAAUGUUACCUGACGUCAACAUAAUAUUGGCUGAUGUG
ensembl:lncRNA